GGGGGGUGCAAGCGUUGUUCGGAAUUAUUGGGCGUAAAGCGCGUGUAGGCGGUCCGAUUAGUCCGAUGUGAAAGCCCUGGGCUCAACCCAGGAAGUGCAUUGGAUACUGUCAGACUUGAAUACGGGAGAGGGUGGUGGAAUUCCUAGUGUAGGAGUGAAAUCCGUAGAUAUUAGGAGGAACACCGGUGGCGAAGGCGGCUACCUGGACCGAUAUUGACGCUGAGACGCGAAAGCGUGGGUAGCAAACAGGAUUAGAUACCCUGGUAGUCCACGCCGUAAACGAUGAGUACUAGGUGUUGCGGGUAUUGACCCCUGCAGUGCCGCAGCUAACGCAUUAAGUACUCCGCCUGGGAAGUACGGUCGCAAGACUA
rnacentral:rRNA from 1 species